GCAAUUCGGCAUGAUCUGAUUUUUGAUUGUCUUGUUGAUUUAUUUGUGGUGUGUUAUUUUUUAUUGAAGGAUCAUUGGUGGUUGUUGUAGAUUAUCUUGAUACAAUUUUUAUACGAUAGUGUAUUUGUACUGUGAGGGGUAGAAUUUUAUUACAAGUUUAUUUAGGAAGCUGAUUUUGUUUGUUGUACCUUGUGUAUCAGGGUUCAUUGAAAUUUAUUAUUUAUUUUUAUUUCCCGAUUUUAAAGGAGUUAAUGAUUUAUGUUAGUUACUGUUUCAUCAGUAUUGAUAAUGGGUUAUUGGUAGUGAAAUGUUACUCGUCUUUAGUGGUUUCUGGUUUUUCAAGAAAUGAAUUUAAUUCAUACAUCUUAUUUAAUGUUUAUUUUUUUAUUAUUUAUUUUUAUUUGAUGUUAAGAUUAAGGGGGAUUAGCUCUUUAUUUUAUUGUUAUAAUUGUUGUUGAGGAUUAAUAGUUUUGUGGAUUUUAUAGUGAUUUUCGGUUUGAUUAUGUUAAAAUUUUACUUGGUUUUGUUUGUGAAAUUUCAUUUAAUUUAAUUGGUUUAUUGGAAUGUUUUCUUUACUUUGUUUUGUAAAGUAAUUAUUGUGGAAUUAGUAAAUUUUUUUUAUUGUUCUGUUAAUUGAUUAAUGUUGGAAUUCCUUUUUAGGAAUUCGGCAAAAAUUCAUGUCCGCCUGUUUAACAAAAACAUCUUUUCUUGUUAGUUUUUGAAGUAUGGCCUGCCCACUGACAUUUAGGUUGAAGGGCCGCGGUAUUUUGACCGUGCAAAGGUAGCAUAAUCAUUAGUUCUUUAAUUGUGAUCUGGUAUGAAUGGCUUGACGAGACAUGAGCUGUCUUUAGGGGAUUGCUUAUUGAAUUUGGUUUUUGAGUUAAAAUUCUUAAAUGUUUUUAUGGGACGAGAAGACCCUAUAGAGUUUAACAUUUGUUCUUGUUCUUAUUUGAAGUGGUUUGUAUUAAUUGUUUGAUGAGGGCACAUGUUUUGUUGGGGUGAUGGGAGGAAUUUGUUUAACUCCUCUUUGGUUUAGAUUAUAUAUUUAUACAUAUUGGUUUUGAUCCAUUUAUUUUGAUUACAAGAUUAAAUUACCUUAGGGAUAACAGCGUUAUCUCCCUUGAGAGUUCUUAUUGGCGGGGGGGUUUGCGACCUCGAUGUUGGAUUAAGGUGAAUUUUUGGUGCAGGAGCUGAAAUUGAUUAGGUCUGUUCGACCUUUAAAAUCUUACAUGAUCUGAGUUCAGACCGGCGUGAGCCAGGUUGGUUUCUAUCUAUAAUAAUGUUUUAUAUCUUAGUACGAGAGGACCGGGUAUUUGGAAUAAUUUUGGUUAGUGUGGUUGGUGUUAAUUUGGUUACUAUUUUGGCAGAUAAGUGCAUUGGAUUUAGAAUCUAUA
rnacentral:rRNA from 1 species